UACGUAGGGGGCAAGCGUUGUCCGGAUUUAUUGGGCGUAAAGAGCGUGUGGGCGGCUUUACAGGUCCGUUGUGAAAACUCGAGGCUCAACCUCGAGACGCCGGUGGAAACCGUAAAGCUAGAGUCCGGAAGAGGAGAGUGGAAUUCCUGGUGUAGCGGUGAAAUGCGCAGAUAUCAGGAGGAACACCCGUGGCGAAAGCGGCUCUCUGGGACGGUACUGACGCUGAGACGCGAAAGCGUGGGGAGCAAACAGG
rnacentral:rRNA from 1 species